rnacentral:rRNA from 1 species
AUGAACAACACACAGUUCAUGAAUGUAGACGAGAAUCUACAACAACAUAGGGACAGACUUAACCUUGGACAUAACGUAACUAUAUUUUGUACACACAAUCGACAAUAUCACUUCCCUUCCUGUUAUUCUAACCAAUGCUGGAUUGCCUUGCUUCCCCCUAGAACAACAGUCCAUCCUUGCUUCUUAGAGAUCUAG